rnacentral:lncRNA from 1 species
CCUGACAUAUUCUUCGUAUUUAUUUAUUUUAUUAUUUUUUUGAAACAUUUUUACAUGUUUAUUUAUCAAAAGUGAAAAAGCAUACAAUUCAACACAAUUUCAAUAGCAUUUGACACCACCCCUGUGGAUCCUGUACAUGGCUGACGUCACCGUCCAGUGCAAAAUCAAAAAAGAAAGAAAGAAAAACCCCAAAGAAAGAGGAUUUUUCAGUGGAGAACAUGGUGGGCUGAUUAGGCUUCUAUUAGAUUACAUUCAUUUCACAUCUGUGUGCAAUUCUCCCAUAAAUUGGUCUUUAAAAUAUAUAUAUAUAUUUAAAGAUAUUAGAAAUAUAUAUUUAAGUAUAUUUAAAAUAUAUAUAUUUUUAAAGAGACGGGGGUCUUGGUAUGUUGCCCAGGCUGGUCUUGAACUCCUGGGCUCAAGCAAUCCUCCCGCCUUGGCCUCCCAAAGUGCAUUACAUCCAUCUUUGUGCCCUACCCUCUGGCUGGUAGGUUUUCAGAAAUAUUAUCUAAGGUAGUUGAAUCCGAGCUGCCUGUCUCUCUCACCCACCCCCCCCUCACGUGUCCACUGCUCACACACAGCAGCCGGAAAUGACACAUUGAAGUGAGUCACCAAUGCGGCUGUGAGUCACCCUGUAAUUGGGGAAAGUUCUGUCCUGGUAGGUCAUGCAGCCCCUUGCAUUUCUGCUCCUAAAUCUAUUGAACACAUUGGAAACCACUCUGUCCUCAUCUGAGUCUCUGUCCCCCCACUCCGUCCUUUUGAUCCCCUGAAGGAGGAUGAAAUUGUAUGGUCAAUUUCCAUCAAGGGGAAAAAGAGGGGCGCGGGGGGCGCGAGGGUCUCAGGCGGCCACAAGGUGGCAGUGUGGGCUCCGUCACGCUGGAUGUCCGGAGGGGUGUGUGCCAGUCAAGUGGCUGGACUUCCUGAGAUACGGUGACACAGACCACAAAGAAACACUAGGAGCGAGUUUAAAUAAUAUUAUUUUCCUUAGUAGUUCUCUUUCUCUCUAACAAGCACUCAAGGGCAAGGAUAUGAUAAAUAUUUAGGUACACCCCUCCCCACCAAGAGAUUGGGGGGGGUGGCCAGUGCCACAGUGGACUCUGAGAUGAAAGGGUGUUUCUUCCACUGGCCUUUGGCCUGUCACCAGCCUCCUCCGCGGUGGCAGGCAGUACAAGAGUGAUGGCAAUGUGACUGGAACAGAAAUAGUUUCUACCAGGCACACAAAAACCUUAAGGGAGUUGUGCUUCAAACUUCUCUCCCAGGGUCUCAGGUGGAGACUAGGGAGUUUGACCUAAAGGUCCUCCAAGGAGAGGCCAAGGUCUUGGAGACAGAUCUGGUUUACCAUCUUUUAACAAAAGGCAAAUGUCUUCUCUUCCUUCAGAAAGAGUCAUUAACACUAAAAUUCUUUUCUUCGGAGUUUCUUCUUUCCCGAUGCAU